AUGACCUGCCACGCAGGACCACCAGCAAACCCAGCUCCACCAUCCAGGCUCCUGUGGAUAACCGAACCCCCACCCCCCAACCUUGGAGCGUCUUCCACUUGCGGUUCUGAAGGGGGCCGAGAAACCGCUCUCAAGGGCACUCAUCUGUUCCUUAUUGCACUAAUACCUCAUUUACAGAAAUCCACUUUGACUUUCCAGCACUGCAGGUGUGACAAUUUAGCAAUCCUGCUUGCAAGCUACAAGAGCUUGAGGUCACGUCCACCUCACCAGUAUCCCAGAGACCCAGCACUAUCCCACUGUGUUUAAAAUUCCAAAAUACUCCUUCAAAAUGCUACUGGCAUUUGCUUUGCACAUAAAAUGCUAAAAAUCUUCAAGUGAAACAAAUAUCUUCAACAGUUUGAUAUAAUGACAUGUGAGUUACACAUCUGCCAAAUUGUAAAGCCUCAUGCAUUUAUAACAUUUUAUUUAUGGUCAAAUGAUUCAUUAAUAUAAAUUACGAGAAUCUCCAAGAAACAGGUUUUUUUCUGGCAUUAGAUGACCAAAGGAAAACUGGGUUCUGGCUGGCUUGCGGGCCUGUAGAGGCAGACAUAUCUGCUGACACAACCAAGCUCCUUCCCACUGAUGUGGCCUCAUCCCAGGCCCCUCACCCGGAUGCCUGCAGGCCCCUGGAGGAGCAAGCUGACCUGCCUACAUUUCUCAAAUGCACAGCUGUUGCUCACACUGCAGAUGGAGCUCAAGGCAUGAGCAGGCCACCACGCUAAAAAUACCACGCAGCGUCCACGCAGGUGACGGUGGUUUUCACUCCAUCCCAAAGCCCCAUGUAUGAGUUUAAAGCCAUGACUACUAAAUAGAUUUUUAGACCCUCAAGACAUACUUUGUUUACUUUUAUGCAACAAAGUUAAAAGACUAUCACUCAGAUAUAGGCUCUGAAACUGUGGAAUAAUUAUUUGGGAACAGAGCCUCUGCCAGAUCAGGAUAAGCACUUGGGACAACACCCCGUGACCUCGGUCCACACAAACCCAUCCAGACCAGAGGCCUCCCGCACUGUAAUUUCUGUGGAUUUCUGUAAACGAGGUAUUAGUGCAAUAAGGAAUAGAUGAGUGCCCUUGGAGGGCAGUUUCUGAGCCUCCCAACCACACGGCCACGUUCAGGCUGAAGCCGCACCACCUCCAGAAACACCGUCCCUCGCCGAGGUGUGCCUGGCUUCUCCCUUUUUCCAGAACUUAACAAAACCUGAAAGGACAGGUCUGUGUAGAAAAAAACAAGCUACUUGCGAUUCCUCUUCCCAGUUCAGGCUGUAGGAAGCUCAUUUCAGCCCUCACCGUGUUCUGACUGUGGCUUGGUUCCCAUAAGAAAUAAAGUCAGAAUUCUAGUCCCUGUCUCCUGGGCAGUGUGGCAGGCAUACAUACCUUCAGUUACAUGAGGAAAGGCGUGGCGAGCCCCCUUCCUUCAGUAAAACUGCACAGUUCCCAGAACCCUGAUGCCAUCCCCCUCACGCCACUGUGAACACCUGGACAGAGCACAUUUCAAUGCGUGCACCUUUGUGGGCUAGUUUUCUAUUUCUCCACUAAAUCACCCCAAAUUUAGCGCCCUAAACACUGACUUAUUUUCUCACAUUUCUGGAAGCUGGAGUCCAAAACAGGUCCCACCAGCUAACGUCGAGGUGUCGGCAGGGCUGGCUCUGGGGAAGCGACCGUCUCCUUGCCUCCCACAGCCUCUAGAGGCUUCUGCAUCCCCUGGUCCAUAUGGCACCUACUGUCUUCAGGACCCACAGUGACCCUGACGGCCCCCCAACAGGAAGACGCAGAAUGUCAGGAGCCCAGGCUCUAGUGCUAGGGCCAAACCUCCCCACCCUCCCGGUUCCUCACACACUCCCGUGUGAGUUAAUAUAGAUUCCACUUUAACUAGUGUCACCUGUGUAAGGGGUACGUGCCCAGCUGUGAACUGGUUAAUCUCACCCACACAGACCCGGGGAAUAAACUCACAGGCCAUGGACCACUCCACAAGCAAUGAGUGACCACCUGCUCGGGGACCUCCAUGGCCCAGCAGAGCACUCCGGUGCCUCCCCGUGGACUCAGAGUCUGCAGCGCCAGAGGGCCCUGGAUGAAAAAGUCAGCUUUCAUGUCGGGAGGCACCCACCCGUGGUUGGGUUCCCGGUACUUUAAGUAGCCCAGGUGGACAAGCUGCACCCCGUGCAACUCCAUCACAAGAAUAAUGGCUGCACGUGGCGAGUGCACGGGUGGCCACCCUUCAGUUCAGCUGGCUGUGUUAAGCACAUCACCACCGUGACGUCAAAUCAGACUCAUCUGCUGGCACAGUCCAGGCAUCGACCCCCAAGAACAUUCUGGAUCGCAAUUCACAGUAGUGAUUGCGAUCAGGGCCACACGUGGCUAAAUGUAUUUACAGGAGGAUGCCACAGCCAAUCUGGCUGGACUGAGAGCAUUUCCCACUGUACAUUCUUACA
rnacentral:lncRNA from 1 species